rnacentral:tRNA from 1 species
GAGGCNUACCACCUCUUAUUUACC